ACAAUAGGGUUCGUUCUCCUGCGAGAAUGGCAUGCCGCUGCUGAUCUAACAGGAGGCAGAGCUCAGGCGGUAAUGGGAGCAAGGGGGAGCGGCUAUAAAUACAGCUCACCGCUCACCUGCUGCUGUGCAGCCCGGUUCCUAACAGGCCAUGGACAGUGCUGGUCUGUAGCCCAGGAGUUGGGGAAUCCUGCUCUACAGAGUUUCCAACCUCAGAGAUGAAGCAUCCCCUCUGUUGUAGAUGAGCAUGAGAGUGUGGAGCAGAGUUGGCGAGUGCAAGUCGAGCCCAUCAACCUGGACAGCUGUCUCCGUGCUUUCACCAGUGAGGAAGAGCUAGGGGAAGAUGAGAUAUACUACUGUUCCAAGUGUAAGACCCACUGCUUUAGCAACAAAGAAGCUGGAUCUCUGGAGGCUUCCACCCUUCCUGAUUAUUCACCUUAAGCGAUUUCAAUUUGUAAAUGAUCAGUGGAUAAAAUCACAGAAAAUUGUCAAAUUUCCUCGGGAAAGUUUUGAUCCGAGUGCUUUUUUGGUACCACGAGACCCGGCUCUCUGCCAGCAUCAACCACUCACACCCCAGGGGGA
rnacentral:lncRNA from 10 species